AUGGCUUGGACCCCUGUGAUCCUUUUGCUCCUCUCUCACUGCGCAGGUUCCCUGGCCCAGCCUGUGCUGACUCAGCCGCCCUCCCUCUCUGCCUCUCCUGGAGCCUCAGCCAGACUCACCUGCACUCUAAGAAAUGACAUCAGUGUUGGUAGCAAAUAUAUGUACUGGUUCCAGCAGAAGCCAGGGAGCCCUCCCCGGUUUCUCCUGAACUUCAAGACAGACUCAGAGAAGCACCAGGGCUCGGGGGUCCCCAGCCGCUUCUCUGGAUCCAAAGACACCUCGGCCAAUGCGGGGCUUCUGCUCAUCUCGGGGCUGCAGCCUGAGGACGAGGCUGACUAUCACUGUGUGAUCUCAUAUGAGAGUGCUUCUCACAGUGACACACACAGAUGGGGAAGUGGGACAUAA